AGUUGCAGCGGCCUGGCCACCUCAGGAGCACGCUGUCUCUUCCCGACGUGCAGCCCGGGGCCCGGCCCUGUCCCCGGGUGACUGCUCCCCGGCAGGACUGCACAUCUGUGGCGGCAGGCCCAGCUCAGGGCUCGGGGGAGGUUCGGCCUUGCCUUCAAAGAGCUCCCUCUCCUGCAGGGCGAGCGCAGAGCGGCGGGCGAGACCACACUGCGUGUGCUGAGGGCGCACUGGUCUUAGCGGGAGGGAAGCCUCACGAGCCUGUACACUUGGAGGAGCCCUAAGCGUUAGGAUCUGCUGCGAGGGCUGCCUGGAACGGAGGUGAGAGGAUACAAGUGGCCCGGGGCAAGCAUAGUGAAUCACUGGCUAAUCUGGCCUUCGAGGUAGUGAAAGGAAAAAAGGGAAAUGAAGCUGACUGUGGCUGAAUGUAGUAGGUCUUGAAGGCCAAAUGGGGCGAUCUGAUUUUUAUUCUAGAAGCAGAGGAGAAACUAAAGAUUUUUUUAGGAGACUAUAUUCAAGCUUGUAUCAUUAGUUCAUCAGACGUUUAUGGACCACCCACCGUCCGUGCACUCACGGGGCUUGCAGUCUAUCUGGCUGAAUCACUUUGGCAGCCAGUGUGAGGAGGGCACAGAAAGGAGACCAGGUGAGAAAGCCAGCCUGACCAAAGAAGAUGUGGCAACUGAUGGGAUUGGAGGAGGCGGACAAUGUCCUCCAGACAGCUGGACUGGCUCUCUAUAUAUUUAUUUAUCUCUUCUACACCUCCAGCCCCCACCUCCACACUCACUAACUGGACUCAACUAGUGGGGGCAAAGGACAGACUAGAUUUUAGUGAAAUGGAAUUUCUACCUCCAGCGGCCCCUGGAACAGUAGCACACAACGAUCUAACAACUGCUUGUAUGAUUGGAUGGUGUAAGUGCGGACAGAAUUAGGGAAUUUGGGCUACUCUGGGCACACUGCUUAUGGGGCAGCCCUGCUCCGCAAGGAAAAUAAACACAUUUUUUUAAAAAAAGGCCGGGCGCGGUGGCUCACGCCUGUAAUCCCAGCACUUUGGGAGGCCAAGGCAGGCGGAUCACGAGGUCAGGAGAUCGAGACCAUCCUGGCUAACACGGUGAAACCCCAUCUCUACUAAAAAUACAAAAAAUUAGCCGGGCGUGGUGGCGGGCGUCUGUAGUCCCAGCUACUCGGGAGACUGAGACAGAAUGGUGUGAACCCGGGAGGCAGAGCUUGCAGUGAGCCGAGAUCGCACCACUGCACUCCAGCCUGAGCAAUAGAGCAAGACUCUGUCUCAAAAAAAAAAAAAAAAAAAAAAAAAAGGCCGGGUGCGUUGGCUCACGCCUGUAAUCCCAGCACUUUGGGAGGCUGAGGCGGGCAGAUCACCUGAGGUCAGGAGUUUGAGAACAGCCUGGCCAACAUGGUGAAACCCCGUCUCUACUGAAAAUACAAAAAUUAGCCAGGCAUGGUGGCGCAAGCCUGUAAUCCCAGCUACUCGGGAGGCUGAGGCAGAAGAAUUGCUUGAACCUGGGAGGCGGAGGUUGCAGUGAGCCGAGAUCAAGCCACUGCACUCCAGCCUGGAGUGCAGGGCAAGACUCCGUCUCAAAAAAAAAAAAAAAAGGGAAUUCGGAGACCAGCCUGGGCAACACAGUGAAACCCCAUCUCUACUAAAAUACAUUUAAAAAAAAAUUAGCUGGGCAUGGUGGUGUGCGCCUGUUGUCCCAGCUACUUGGGAGGCUGAGGCAGGAGAAUUGCUUGAACCUGGGAGGCAGAGGGUGCAGUAAGCCGAGAUCAUGCCACUGCACUACAGCCUGGGCAACAGAGCAAGACUCGUCUCCAGAAAAAAAAAAAAAAAAAAAAAAGAUGUUCAUAAAUGGUAGGAUAGGCUGGGGAUGGAGGCUCACACCUGUAAUCCUAGCACUUUGUAAGGCUGAGGCAGGCAGAUCACUUGAGCUCACAAGUUCGAGCCUGGGCAACAUCGUGAGACCCCGGCUCUACAAAAAAUACAAAAAAUCAGCUGGGCAUGGUGAUGCAUGCCUAUAGUCCCAGCUACUCUGGAGGCUGAGGUGGGAGGAUGACUUGAGCCCAGGAAGUGGAGGUUGCAGUAAGCCAAGACUGCGCCACUGCACUCCAGUCUGAGUGAUAGAAACCUUGUCUCUAAAUAAAUAAAUAAAUAAAUAAAUAACUCCACAAAUGGUGGGAUAUAGCUAUGUGAAAGUUUAGUCCUAGAGUUUAGGUAAGAGGUCUGAGCCAAAGUACAGAUAUGACCCAGCCUAUUAGUACCCAUCCUUGAAAGGAAAUGGCAGAAUUCACUGUUUAAAAGGCUCCAACACUAAGGUCCUAACUGAUCUGGUCCCUGCCUUGUCCUCUCAUUCUACCUGUGACACUCUCCUGGGCCCCACCCAGUGCUUUAACCAUUCCCCGAGGAUGUCAGCAUCUUUCAUACCCCCCUCAACCCUCAAACCUUGCCCCCUGGCUCAGCACAAGGAACAGUCAGGUCUCCUAGGCAGUAAAUCACUCCCUCCUCUUGCUCCCACAAUUGUAAUUAUAUGCUUAUCUGCAUCGCAAAACUAUAAGCUCCUCUCAGCAUGGGCCAUGUUUUGUCAUCUCUGUAUCUCCAGCAUCUGGCCCGUUAUCUGGUACUCAGUUGGCCCUCUACCUUUGUUGAAUGAAUGUUAGUGUGAAUGGGAUGACGUGGGAAAGGAAGAGAGGCCAAGGGAACCAGAGUCAAGUGGAGAGGACAAUAAGAAUUAGAAAGCCUUUCCAUUUCCCUUGGGAACAGUAUCACUGAGUCCAUAAAUAUUUAUUGAAAGCCUGUGUUCCAGGUAUACUCUAAUGACUUCAGGUUCACACCUGACUCCAAAGCCAUGAGUUUAAAUGUUCCAAUUAGUACCUGUGUGACCUUAUGUAAGUUGCUGAACCUCUAUAAAAUUGGAGCAAUAAGAGUUCCUAUCUCAUAGGAUUGCUGUAAAGACUGAAAGAGAUAACACAUGUAAGGUGUUCAGCACUGUUUCUGUCUCAACAUUUAAUGGACAAGGUGGGAAAGUGCCCAAAGUAUCAGGAAGGUACAUACUUAUAUGUAGAUUCAUGAGCAUUCUUUUAAUAAUCUUUCCUAAACAGUUACUGUGUGCAAACCACUGUUGUGAGAGCACUAUUGAGAGAUUUUGGAUUAAAUGUCCAUCAUAAGAGUGCACUAGAGACAAAGCAGACUAUUAUAGAUGAUGAAACUGUCCCAGAGGCCAAACACAGCAGUGAUAGGAAACUUCAACUGUGUUUUUAUUUACCUGGACCACAUUUGUAAAUGACCAUGGCAGGCCCUCAAUAAAUGCUGACUGACUACAUGAAUGAACAUGCUCAAAGACAGUUGUUCAGCUCUUGUCCCAGGUUCUAUCAUACCCCUCUCCCCCUUCCUGAGUUUCUUUUGUUCAGUUUGGCAAACAGUGAAUGGAUGUUUGCCAAAUAUUUGAGGAUGCUCAAAUAUCUGAUAUAGACCACUUAGCCCCAAAUCCUACCAAAUGGCAUCUUCAUGGCCCUGGGGUUCCUGCAAAACACUCAGUCUGAUGGAAAAGACAGACAUAUAGAUGAGCAAUUAUAUAUGUGGUGAGUGUUCCCAUAGAGAUAAACCCAGAGGGUUAUGAAAGCACUGGGGUGCGGGGGCACCUUAACUCAGUAUGGAGGCUAAUUCUUAAAGGUGAUGCAAAAAUGACACUUAAUUGAGCAUUAAAGGUCACUUUCUAGGCCGCGUAAGGUGGCUCAUGCCUGUAAUCCCAGCACUUUAGGAGGCUGAGGUCGGUGGAUCACCUGAGGUCAGGAGUUCGAGACCAGACUGGCCAACAUGGUGAAACCCUGUCUCUACUAAAAAAUACACAAAAAUUAGCCAGGCCUGGUGGCAGGCGCCUGAAAUUCCAGCUACUCAGGAGGCUGAGGCAGGAGAACCACUUGAAGGCAGGAGGCGGAGGUUGCAGUGAGCUGAGGUUGUACCACUGCACUCCAGCCUGGGCGACAAGAGCGAGACUCCAUCUCAAAAAAAAAAAAAAGAAAGAAAAAAAAGGACACUUUCUAGGAAGCAGGGAAAGGCAUUCUAAGUGGAGCGAAGCAUGUAUGUGAAGGCAUAGAAGCAAGAGAUGUGGCGGGUUUGGGAACGCUAAGUAGUUUGGUAUGACUCCAGUUCAGAGGGCAUAUGGGAGGGCAAGAAAGGUAGGCAUGAGUCAGUUUAUGAAGAGCCUUGUAUGCCACAGCAAGAAGACUGGAUUUUAUUCUGUAUAUGUUUUUCAGCCCUGGCUGCAACUAGAAUCAACUGGGGAGCUUUUAAAAUAUCAGUGCCUGGCUCUCACCUCCAGAUUGAUGCUAGAUGGUUGUUCUUAAUGGGAAGAGGCCAAAGCAUGUUUAUAUGCUGUAUGGAGAGUGACAAUGGGAUCCAGCAUACACAUGAAGAGAGUAGCCUCUGGCUAAGGAGAACGGAAAUAGAGUAAGUUCGUCAGUGGAAUGGGAGGAAAUUGAGGGAGUUUUGUCUAAAGGAGUCUAUUUUUUCCUUCAGUCAGAUGUUAGGUAGUUGCUGAACAUGGGGGAUGGGUAGGUGAUGGGAUAAAGAAUUGUAGGGAAGUGGUUCACUCUGGAGUAACUGAUGAUGGAAUGCUGGGAAAGCUUAGUGAACAGCUAAGUGGAAGGCCCCACUGGGUGGGAGACCAUAAGGAGUGUACCAGUUUAGAAGGCUGUGAUGUUUUCCGCAGAGCUAAGUGAGUGGGAGUCAGGAGAGCAGAAAUAGGACCAUUUGGGAUCUGCAGGGAAGCGAGAUGGAAGGCCUUGCUUGGGAGAGGGUUCAGUGAAGGCUGAGUAGAUGAAACUAAACCAAGGGUACACUGAUAAACUGGAUAAACUGAAGAGGUCAAGGAACUCAUAGGUUUGAUAAGGAUGAAGGCCAGGUGUAGUGGGGAAAGAAAACCCAGUCCAACAACUAAAAUUCCAUCCAUUUCAUGGAGCCUUCCUGACUAAUGGGAAAUGAGGUGGCAACUUCCCCCAGGUCCCACCCUGUCUGACUCACUCCUCACUCACUGCUCUUCAAAGGGCCCGUCUCCAUCCUCUUUCUCAAGAAGAGAAACCAUGGAUGUUGUUUCUAAAAGUUCAGCCUGAAAACCACUGUCUGUAUGAACUCAAUUCCCAUGAUUUUUUGAGGCUUUAUAUGUUUCAGCACAAAUAUUAAAUGGAGGUAGGAUAGAGAAGCAGAAAUGGCAAUGAGGAAAAAAAUGGAAAAAGGUAUGCCUGCAUGUUCAUGAGUGAGUCAGCAGAAGAGUGGAGGGAAAAGACAAUAAGACACGGGGUAUCAGCUAUGAAUAGGAACUGAAGGUCCAGAUUGAAGGGCAACAGAACUGGCAGGUGGAGAUGGAAGCAGCCUCCUGGGGGCUGUGUCAAGCUUCUCCAUUCUCCAUCCUGUAAAGGACAAAGGACACUUCCUACACAGUACCCACACAGAAGAGCUGAUGGGAGGGUUAGCCUGUGAGGACGAGAGAGUGAAGAUGAGGGCAAAGGGUUUGCCAGUUAAUAAUUCUGCAUGUUUCUUGGGCCCCAGCCAGCUAGCUGGUAUCCUCUUCCAAAGCAGGCUGGGACCUUGGCUGAAGGAACCAGGGCUGGAAAGACAUCGGGCUGGCAGAGGGGAGAGACUGCAUGCAAACAUUCUUUGUAUCUUCUGCAAUUUGAGAGUUGGCCUGGAACCCUGAAAGUCAGGGCCAAUGUCUGAUCCAUCAGUGGGUAACCAGUGCCUACAUACUAUGGGUAUCAUUCACUGUUCAUUGAACUGAACAAAAGAAACUUAGGAACGGGGAAAGGGAUGUGAUAGAACCUGCAGGAAAAGCUCCGGAGAGAAAGGAGAGGCUUUUUGUUAGGGGGCAAACCAGGGGAUGCUAUCAAGAUGGAGGAAAGGGAGUUAGCAAGAUCCAGAAGACACGUGAGAAGGACCAAGAGGGGAAUGAGAAGCUUAUAAUUCUAUUAGUACUUUUUCUGGCAAGGAUGAAGCCAGCUGCAUUCCCUAUGUUCGAAUGUUUCCAUCCUGUCAGGUAAGUUCUAUGAUCACCUCUUAAUAGAUAAAAAAAAAACUGGAAUCAGAGGUUGAAGGCUUUGCUCAAGGUCACAGACCGGGUAAGGUGAAAGCAACACAGGUGUUUCAGGCUGAGGAAAAAGCACAGACAAAGGAAUGGAUAUAGGAAAACACAGGACAGGUAGAGAAUUGCAAGGGAUUCUGUUUGGCUAAAGCAACAGUCCCCAACCUUUUUGGCACCAGGGACCAGUUUCGUUUUGUGGAAGACAAUUUUUCCAAGGAUGGGGGCUUGUGGUGAUGUGGGGGGCAAGGGGCAGGGGGAUGGUUUCAGGAGGAAACUGUUCCACCUCAGAUCAUCAGGCAUUCAUUAGAUUCUCAUAAGGAGUGCACAGCCUAGAUCCCUUGCAUGCACAGUUCACAAUAGGGUUCCCACUCCUAUGAGAAUCUAAUGCUGCUGCUGACCUGUCAGAAGGCGGAGCUCAGGCAUUAAUGCUUGCUGACUUGCCCACCACUCACCUUCUGCUGUGCGGCCUGGUUCCUAACAGGUCACAGACCAGUACUGGUCCAUGGCCCAGGGGUUGGGGACCCUUGGGCUAAAGGAUAUGGCUAACGAAAGGCCUUCAUAUGAUAGAAGGUUAAUGAGUGGCCCCAGAUCAUGAAAUGUUUUGAAUUUUAAAAAAUGAGUUUACUUUAUAUUGGGGUGUCUCUGAAGAUUUUUUUUUUUUUUUUUGCGACAGAGUCUCACUCUGUCGCCCAGGCUGGAGUGCAGUGGUGCGAUCUUGGCUCACUGCAAGCUCCGCCUCCUGGGUUCACACCAUUCUCCUGCCUCAGCCUCCCGAGUAGCUGGGACUACAGGUGCUCGCCACCACACCCGGCUAAUUUUUUGUAUUUUCAGUAGAGACAGGGUUUCACUGUGUUAGCCAGGAUGGUCUCGAUCUCCUGACCUUGUGAUCCGCCCGCCUCGACCUCCCAAAGUGUUGGGAUUACAGGCGUGAGCCACCACGCCCGGCCCGUCUCUGAAGAUUUUAAGUGGCAGGCUGAUAUGAUCCCCACUGUAUUUUAAAAAGACAAACUUGGGGACGGGCAUAGUGGUUCACACUUGUAAUCCCAACAAUUUGGGAGGCCAAGGUGGGUGGAUCAAUUGAGGUCAGGAGUUAGAGACCAGCCUGGACCAACAUGGUGAAACCCAAUCUCUACUAAAAAUACAAAAUUAGGUGGGUGUGGUGGCGUGUGCCUGUAGUCCCAGCUACUUAGAAAGCUGAGGCAGGAGAAUCGCUUGAACCUGGGAGGUGGAGGUUGCAGUGAACCAAGAUCAUACCACUGCACUCCAGCCUGGGCGACAGAGCAAGACUGUCUCAGAAGAAAGAAAGAAAAAAAGACAAACUUGGCAACAGCAAGGUAUAUUAUCAAGAGGAAAGCAGAAGAAGGCAGGGAUAUCAGCUGGGAGCCAGCUCAGAGGUCUGGGUGUGACAUAACAAAGGCCUGACCUAGAAGAAUGGCAGUGAGAAGGAAGAAAAGGGGAUACAACAGAAAGAGGACCCAGAACUGACAGCAGAUGUCCAGAUGGAUAACUCAGGUGGGACAGGAUGAAGAAAAUGAAUGCAGUUUGGGACAUCCUGAGUUUGAGGUGAGAUGGCCCAUUCAACAAGCAAUCUAAAACACAAUACUGUGCAUUCAGGAGAAAGGACAGAGCUUGAGAAAAAAAUCUGAGGAUUCUCUAUACAGAGGUGAAACCACACAAAGUGGACUGGAGUGUGGUAGCUCUAGUUUUGGCUGUAUUCAGAAACUUUCCCAUCCCCUGCUUUCAUUUCCUUUGAGAAAUUCCCUACCCCAUUGGCUCAUUAAUGCUGGUAGUCUCCCCUACUUCCUCCCAGUCCAAGCUCCUAAUGGCACAUAAUCCAAGCAAAACCAGAGCUCUCCCAUGAGAUGAGUUCGAAUAAUGUAGAGUGGAGAAAUGCAGAGACAGAGUCCAGACAACAUUUGAGCCUCUGAGCCCACCUAGAGGCAUCCACAUAACCCAAAUACAGCUGGUUCUCUUUUUUUUUUUUUUUAUUAAGCCAGUUUAAUUGUAAUUUUGAUUAGGCUAGUUUAAUUGUAAUGUCUUGCAAUCAAAACAGUCUACUAGACCAUCACAUAAAAAUGAGAUUGCUCAGGAGAAAGUAAAAGAGACUAACAGUUACCACUUGAGUGUUGACUAUUUGCCUGAAGGGCCUUUUUAAGAAGCUUGGACUUUAUCUGGUAGAAAAUUAAGAGCUACCUAAAGAUUUAAAUUUAACUUUAAAUAUGUUUUGUUGAAGGUGCUCUUUGAAGUUGGUACUAUAAUCCCAUUCUAUAGAGCUGGAAACUGAGGUUCUUGUAAGUGAAGUAACUUUCUAAGGCCACACAAUGGAUAAGUGUUCAAACCAGGAUAUGAACUUGAAAAUAAAUAAACUGCAAUAGAACUAUGGGUGCUAGAAUGGAAGUAUACAGGGCACAGGAGAGGUACAGUUUAAGAAUGGUCAAGUGUACAGGGGAGGAAGUAGUAAAGACUUUACAGGAGUAGGUGACAUGUGAACUGGAAGGAUGAAUUGUUUAUCAGGUGAAUAAGGGGUUUGGAGCAGGAAAGAGAGAGGGUAUUCUGCGUAGGGCAGAGCAUGUAUAAGCCAUGGAGGUAUGAGGCAACACCUGACUCCCAGCUAUUUCCUUAUGGCUACAGCUGAGAGCACUUAUGGCAAAGUGGCAAGAGUCGUAGAGUAUGCCAUGACAAAACAAAGUCUGAAGGACUGGUGGUCAGUGUGGCGGGAAGAGAGGCAAGCAUGGCACCAAAGAGCUCCGGUUUUGAUCUCCAGUGAAUUACACACAGCCACCCACGAAGAACUGAGCCCGACCUAGCAAGCACAGACAAGCGAGGCAAGAAUUCAUCACAACUGCACAGAGAAAGCUAUGUGUGGUGAAGGGCCUCCUUUAGGGACUGACUGUAGAAAAACUAUGGAACUGAGUGGUUAGCUAGUCUAGACAGGGAAGAGAUACAGUUCAGAAGGCAUGAAAAAGAACAUUUCAGGUGAGAGGUCUUAUCAUUUGGCCUCAAGUCAAAAGAACACAAUUUCUUAAUGAAAGAACGUAGGCAACAACUAGGUGGGAGAAAUACAAUUCACAAAACUAGAUUUGAAAUUGACUUAUCAUGUCAGGUAAUCCAAUGUAAAAAUGCUCCAGUACCUACUCCACACAUUACUAGGGAGAUACCAUGGGGGACGAAAUAUGCACAAAAAGCGUCUCCUGAGGCUAAGCUCCUGAGACAUGAGCACAGGGGAGCUGCAGAGGGAAGGAGAGGUUAUGACCUCUUAGAGGAAUUGGUCAAUCGUUUUUUUCAAGCAACAAUCACUGAGAGCAGAGAGUUCCAGAUGUUACCCUAUGAAUAGAUAAUAUGUAUUGUGCUUCUACUGUUGUCAGCAUUAUCCUAAGCACUUUAUAUAUAUUAACCCAUUUAAACCUCACAGCAACCCUAUGAAAUAGCCAUUAUUAUCGACCCCAGGAAUAAGGAGGCAAAGGCAUAGAGAAGUGAACUAACUUGCCCAAGGCCACACAGCUGGUGAGCCUUGAGCAAAAGGUAAUUUCACUGCCCAACUCUGCAAAGAGCACCAGGGAGUCGAGGUUGCCAGCCACACUCACCGCUGGUAGGGAUGCAUGGAAGCCGACUUGAUGUUGGUUUUUAUUCCACUUGGCAUUUUCCCUGAAAGGAACAUUAAAAAAGUCAUCUUAAGCAAGGUAAGACUUUCAUGACAAAUCAGAAAUGUGGUACCUCAGGUUCCCUCUGUCACUUCCUUUAUCAUCUCAGAACCUCUGCGGCAUCUGACCCUGUUUGACAGAGGUCAGAAGUAUGAUUCUUCACCCAGCUGUCUCCCUGAAGGUGUCCAGGAGGAAAGAAGUGACAUGGGAGAAUAGUCUGUUCAUCCACUCCUAGAACAGAUAGCUAAACCUGUGUGACUCCCAUUUAACGUCACAGGUAAAAGAGUACUAUGUUCUCUCAUUGUUUUUCUUUUUUUAUAUCAUAAUAAGUGCAGAAUCUCUCUUUAAUUGUCCCUUUUCCUAGACAGCUUGGAGGAAAUAACUCUUCUAGCUGCCUGCAUCUAGACUGUUCUAAAAAUGAGUAGGAGAGAAGGCAGGAAGCCAAGAGCAAGAGAGGCAGGAUACAGAGAAAAGAAUACAUGUAGGACUGGAAAACUGGCCUGCGUGUCAAUUCCUGAUGCACCUACCAAAUGGUCUUAAGAUCUGACUGCUGAUUUCUCUACCUAACAAGAGACACUGACAACAUAUCUAAUACCAGAAUAAAUGGGAUAGAAGGAUAGUUGACACAGAGAUGUGAGAUGCGGAUGAGAAAUUGGAGCAGUUUCUGUUACUCAAAGUUCUUCCUCACUCUCUGGUGCCUGUUGCAGAGUCUCAGAUGAGAUUUUUUUACUUCUGAAAAUUAUUUCCUGGGUCACAGUGAAAAGGAGAAAUAGAGAAAACCUCUAGGUCUAGAGAUGCUGGAGGCCCAGAUAAUCUAGCUUAUUCCCUCCCACUCCUGCUCAAAGUCAGCUUCAUUUCAACCCCUGCCACCUUACCUGGUUGACCUGCCUGAGCCAUUUGUACCCCACUGAGCAUUGGCUGCUGCUGGCUUGGAGCUCCUGCCAUCUGCACCUGCUGUAAUCCUGAGGUUCCUGCAAGGAUCGUCCCAGCUCCUGGCUGGCCUGCCUGGCCAGGACCACUGCUGCCUGAAGGUCUCCAAUUAGAUAGUCCUUUCCCAAAGGCAACAGCUGCCACCAAGGCAUUAGUGUCUGUAGGGUUAAAGGUCUGCUUGUUCGGCCGGAGACCUGAAGAAAAAGUAAUGGGGAUCCUGAAGUAUGCUUCUGAUGCAGGACUGAACGUGGCAGCUGGAAGACCAGUAUGAGUGCCAGGGUUUGGAGUUCUGAAUUCAGCAACAUCUAGACUCCCUCACAGCCCAGAAAAAGAGCCAGAGGACCCCCAAGCCUAUCUCAGAAUUCUCUCUUCUUACUUUGCCCAUUUCCUCCACUGCUUCAGUGCUGGCCUUAAAUACAAAAGGCUAACAGAAUGGAUACAAACCCCAAAGCAGUUCACCCUUGUGUCCUAACUUCACUACUUCCAAAACAACCAUUCCCAUUCCAGUGAUCUUAUAUACCUCUCCUUCUCUGUUUAGCCACCAGUCCCAUCAUACCUCCACUCUCUGAUUCUCGCUCCUCUUUGCUGAUUUUCUCCAGAAGGUUUGAACACAUUUUAUUCAAGCUCUGGAUCUGCUUCUGUAACACACAAAUUUGUGCAGAGAUUAGGGUAACUAGGAAACGAUAUGGAGAAAUUUAUUCCUUGGGUUCUGCCAGAAGCAACUUAGGCGCAACCAACUAUGUAUCCCUACUAGACAGGAAUGGUAAUGCCUAGCUUCUCAUGAUGGGAUGGGGAUGGGGCAGCAAGGCAGUGACUCAGUCCAACCUGGGCUGCAUCUGCACCAAUGCGGGCAGCAUCUGUCGUCAGUUGCUUCUCCUGUUCUUCCACUUCAGGGUCAGGCUUGGUUCUCAGAUGGUCAGGGACUACCUCAUGGCUGAAAACAGGCACCCGUCCUUCAGUCUGCCGCUGUAACACACAGAUUUUAUUGAUCCUACUCUGUACUCCAAGAAGAUUCUAUCUGGCCUGACAUAAAGUCCCAUCCACAGGCAAACAGUGCAUUUUCAAGGAAAAUACAACCUGAGACAUAAUAUCUAGUUUGCUAGGACACACUCUCCUUUACUCCAUCCUUCAUUUUUUGUGUCUUCUCACAUCCCUAUCUCUACCAGACCUAGGGGCAAAUUAAACUAUCACUGUCUGCCACGCUUCAAAGACUGGAAUAGACAAAGUCACAAAAGGGCAAACUUUGUGGCUUGAGACAGAUGUUGGAGAAGAAAGGUAUCAGCCUUGGUGACAUACCCCUCAGGUUAUUACAGCACUAUUUGGGAGUGGCUCUCCCGCCUUCAGAAGAACAAAAAGCAAGGCCUCCAAAAUUAUUUCUAGGCUCUCAGCUAAUAACUUAAUUUCCCUAAAUACUAAAGAAGCCUAAAAAACCCCUUAAUUUCCCAAGUUGUAUUCUUUUUCUCCUCUUACCAUGAGAUCUUCAUCUCGGUCUGGAGACAACACCAGAGGAAUGAUGACCUGGUUACGGAACAGCGGUGUUUUUUCAUGCUUCAAGACCUUGUUCAGAGUGUUCAGCUGUCCAGAAAGCAAGGCAAAGCUGUCCAGGACAGAUGGCCUGGUGGUGGUAACAAGGUGUACACCCUACACUCCCUCACUGAGACAUUUUCGACAGACCUAAUGCCAGGAGAUCAUUCUCUCAUGUGCACCUCUGUAGCACAUGCACUCCAGCUUCCUCCAUCCUAGCAUCUGUGAGCCUGGCUGUCUUGUCAGUCUCUGGGAAAUCUGCCUACUCAUGAAGACUUCUCUGAACACCAGUCCUGCUCUCCCCUUUCCCUCCCCCAACCAACGACUCCAGCUUUCCAUCUGCUCUCAUCAUUUUGUUUCAACCUUCUCCUUGCUGAAUUAAUAUGCAAUCAUCUAUCUCUGUGUCAAUAUUCCCGUGCCUCUUUCACAAGCUCAGUCAACCCAUUAACAUUUAUUGAGACUACCAGCUGCAAGAAACUAAGUGACAAAUGAAAAACAAAAACCACACAUGCUUCUAAGCACUGGACAAACAAAUUAAAAUGCUGGGGGUCUGCAAAGCAUUUCCUUCCCAUCGGUGGUCUCCUGUUUUACUCCAUUUCUUCACCCUUAACAACUAUAGGGCACAGGCUGGGAAGAGGGAUGCAAAACUGUCUUGCAAACCUGCCUGACAGAAACUUGAUCCCGGGUUCCACCAUGGCCUCUGAUUAUAAGCUGCUUAGCUUUCAGCCAUCGCGGCCCACAAUUCCCUCACUGCUUGGGCUUCUUUCCAAUUAGAUCCCCUGCUAUAUCGGCAACCAACAGCCUCCAUCCAGCAGCUUAGGACAGGGCCUGAGCCAACCCACCACCUUCUUGAGCCGUCUUCCUUGGACUGCAUCUCAGCCUCCCCGUAUUACAACCUAAUCCUUUCCCACGCCAAGCAAACAGGUGCUGCCUCCUCCCUCCGGAUUUAGCCCGACUGUCUCCUGUCAGGCAAGCUCCACCCCCACCUCUAAUCGCCGCCGCUCCCGCUCCAAUUAGCCUCGCCCCCCAGCCCACAUUCCCUUAUCAGCCGUGGGUUCUGCCCUCUCUUCUCAGUCCCAACUCUUCAUUCUCCUUAGCCAGCCCACUCUCGGUCCCUGUACCCGAAGCUUGC
rnacentral:lncRNA from 1 species